UAGUCGUACGCCAGAAUACACUUCAGAAAUGUACCGUACGUUAGGUAGCAUCUGAGGGUUGUAAGAUCCAAACGGGUCGUACGUUAGACCGUGUUGGGGUUGUUGAAGUUCAGAAUGGACCGUACGUUAGAUCGUAUCCGAGUUGUAGAAUGAGCUGUCCGUUAGGCUGCAUCUGAAAAAGAAAGUAGUCGUACGCUAGACUACACCCCUGAAUGUACCGUACGCUAGGCAGCAUCUGAGGAUUUGAAGGUCCAAAUGGGUCGUACGUUAGACCGCAUUGGAGUUGCUGAAGAAGUCAUAUGUUGGGCUGAAUCAGAAUGAACCGUACGUUAGGCUGUAUCUGAUAACCUGUAUAUGUUGUACUUGCAAUAAAUGUCUGGGAUGGGCUUAGAGAUGCCAUCGUUAGGAGGAUAUCGAAGUGUUGUCAGAAUGAAUGUUCCCAUGAACUGUAUUUGAAAUAUGUAUCUGAAUCUUGAAUGUGAUUGAUANUUGCCUUUGUUUCGCUUGUGCGCCCUCUGAGGAGAGCGCGAGAGAGUGGGUCGUCAGCGUUAGUACGGCGCGAUUGAGUAUUGGAGUUGCUGAAGAAGUCAUAUGUUGGGCUGAAUCAGAAUGAACCGUACGUUAGGCUGUAUCUGAUAACCUGUAUAUGUUGUACUUGCAAUAAAUGUCUGGGAUGGGCUUAGAGAUACCAUCGUUAGGAGGAUAUCGAAGUGUUGUCAGAAUGAAUGUUCCCAUGAACUGUAUUUGAAAUAUGUAUCUGAAUCUUGAAUGUGAUUGAUAAAGGUGUCUGUCUGAAUGAACCUUCUACUUUGACUACAUCAGGAGGAUAAUUAACCUGCAAAGAAAAAGUUAGCUUCAUGCUAUGUCAUGAUGCAUGAGAUGUUUCGUGUUAUGCUAAAAUAAAUGUGAAUGUUGUAUGCAUGCGUAUGCUGUGAAAGGAUGUAACGAAUGAGUUAUGCGUAUGAGAAGUUCUGCUUGGGGAUUCUACUGGGGAAAAUAAAUCCCCAUCUACUGAUUUGAGACAUUUGUGUCGAUGACCCUUUCUCGGCUGGGGAUGCUUGAUUUCUGUCUGAAAUGAAGGUUUAACUUGGUCGUCCAGUAAACCAUACUUGAGUUGUUGAAGAUCAGAAGGGAUCGUACGCUAGAUCGUAUCUGAGCUGGAGGUCCAAAUGGGUCGUACGUUAGACCGUAUUGGAGUUGCUGAAGAAGUCAUAUGUUGGGCUGAAUCAGAAUGAACCGUACGUUAGGCUGUAUCUGAUAACCU
rnacentral:lncRNA from 1 species